CAGUCGCCGCGGGAAUACAGAGGGUGCGAGCGUUAAUCGGAUUUACUGGGCGUAAAGCGUGCGUAGGCGGCUUUUUAAGUCGGAUGUGAAAUCCCUGAGCUUAACUUAGGAAUUGCAUUCGAUACUGGGAAGCUAGAGUAUGGGAGAGGAUGGUAGAAUUCCAGGUGUAGCGGUGAAAUGCGUAGAGAUCUGGAGGAAUACCGAUGGCGAAGGCAGCCAUCUGGCCUAAUACUGACGCUGAGGUACGAAAGCAUGGGGAGCAAACAGGAUUAGAUACCCCUGUAGUCCCUGUCUAUUAUAC
rnacentral:rRNA from 1 species